AGGGAAUCUUCCGCAAUGGACGCAAGUCUGAUGGAGCAACGCCGCGUGAGUGAUGAAGGCCUUCGGGUUGUAAAGCUCUGUUGUCAGGGAAGAACAAGUUCCGGUGUAACUGCCUGUACCUUGACGGUACCUGACCAGAAAGCCCCGGCUAACUACAUGCCAGCAGCCGCGGUAAUUA
rnacentral:rRNA from 1 species